rnacentral:rRNA from 1 species
CGCGUGGGAAUCUACCCAGUAGUGGGGACGAACAGUUGGAAACGACUGCUAAUACCGCAUAAUGUUUACGGACCAAAGUGGGGGACCGUUCGGGUCUCACGCCAAGAGAUUAGCCCAAGUGAGAUUAGCUAGUUGGUGGGGUAAAGGCCUACCAAGGCGACGAUCUCUAGCUGGUUUGAGAGGAUGAUCAGCCACACUGGGACUGAGACACGGCCCAGACUCCUACGGGAGGCAGCAGUGGGGAAUAUUGCACAAUGGGGGAAACCCUGAUGCAGCCAUGCCGCGUGUGUGAAGAAGGCC